CGCGUAGGUGGGAUAGUAAGUCUGCUUUAAAAGUGCGGGGCUCAACCCCGUGAUGGGGUGGAAACUGCUAUUCUUGAGUGCAGGAGAGGAAAGCGGAAUUCCCAGUGUAGCGGUGAAAUGCGUAGAUAUUGGGAGGAACACCAGUGGCGAAGGCGGCUUUCUGGACUGUGUCUGACACUGAGGCGCGAAAGCUAGGGGAGCGAACGGGAUUAGAUACCCCGGUAGUCCUAGCCGUAAACGAUGGGUACUAGGUGUAGGGGGGUAUCGACCCCCCCUGUGCCGGAGUUAACGCAAUAAGUACCCCGCCUGGGGGAGUACGGCCGCAAGGUUGAA
rnacentral:rRNA from 1 species